rnacentral:rRNA from 1 species
GGCACUGAGACAGGGGUCCCACUUAUACGGGAGGCAGCAGUUAGGAAUCUUCCACAAUGGGCGAAAGCCUGAUGGAGCGACGCCGCGUGAGGGAUGAAGGUUCUCGGAUCGUAAACCUCUGAAUCAGGGACGAAAGACGCGUAAGCGGGAUGACGGUACCUGAGUAAUAGCACCGGCUAACUCCGUGCCAGCAGCCGCGGUAAUACGGAGGGUGCAAGCGUUACCCGGAAUCACUGGGCGUAAAGGGCGUGUAGGCGGUUAUUUAAGUCUGGUUUUUAAGACCGGGGCUCAACCCCGGGAGUGGACUGGAUACUGGAUGACUUGACCUCUGGAGAGGGAACUGGAAUUCCUGGUGUAGCGGUGGAAUGCGUAUAUACCAGGAGGAACACCAAUGGCGAAGGCAAUUUCCUGGACAGAAGGUGACUCUGAUGUGCGAAAGUGUGGGGAGCGAACCGGAUUAGAUACCCGGGUAGUCCACACCCUAAACGAUGUACGUUGGCUAACUCGCAGGAUGCUGUGGUCGGCGAAGCUAACGCGAUAAAACGUACCGCCUGGGAAGUACGGCCGCAAGGUUGAAACUCAAAGAAAUUUGACGGGGGCCCGCACAAGCGGUGGAGCAUGUGGUUAAUUCGAAUCAACGCGAAGAACCUUACCAGGUCUUGACAUCCAUGGAACUCCUGAGAGAUCAGGAGGUGCCCUUCGGGGAGCCAUGAGACAGGUGCUGCAUGGCUGUCGUCAGCUCGUGUCGUGAGAUGGUUGGGUUAAAGUCCCGCAACGAGCGCAACCCUUACCUUUAGUUGUCAGCAUUCGGUUGGACACUCUAGAGGGACUGCCUUUGAAAGUAGGAGGAAGGCGGGGAUGACGUCUAGUCAGCA